rnacentral:tRNA from 1 species
AAGGUCUUGGCUUAAUUAAAGUACCUGGGUUGCAUUCAGGUGAUGUUGGAUAGAACCCUGCAGAUCUUA